rnacentral:lncRNA from 1 species
CUGAAAGCCUUUUGCCUGGCCUCCAGGUUUGGGCAGGUUCCAGAUCAGCUCGGUGGGCUGCGACUCUUCACAGUGCAGAUACCCCACAAGCGCCUACGUCAGCCCCCACCCUGCUACCUCACAGCCUGGGACAGUUCCACCUUCUUGCCUCUUCGGACCAGAUCCUGUGGCCAUGAGGUCAUUUCCUGCCUCAGUGUCAGCGCCUGUAUUAUGUGAAGGAGGCCCAUGGCAUUGUGGUAACAGAUGUGACCUUUCUACCUGAGAAGGGUUGUGGUCCAAAGCUCCUUGGGCCCCAUGAAACUGCUCUUUUCUCUGUGGCUGUGGAUAGUCGUUGCCAGUUGCACCUGCUGCCUUCACGGCGGAGUGUUCCUGUAUGGCUUCUGCUCCUGCUGUGUGUCGGCCUUAUUAUUGUGACCAUCCUGCUGCUCCAGACUGCCUUCCCGGGAUUUCUCUAACCUCUAGAGCGAUGGGAAUCAGCCUUGGACAGUGCCGCCUUCCAGAGCAGAAUCACUGAGCCCCACGGCUGAAGCUGCAUCUGAUGAAACUGAUGGGUACUGCUUGUCCCUCAGCUCACACUUGGCGGUGGCCUCUCGAUCACUCUGGGUCUUGGGAGCUCUUGCCUUCACCUGUGGAUCCACUUAAGACAUUGUGGUCUGAAGCUCAGGCCACAGUGCCUGCCUCGUUCCCUCAGCCUCCCUCCCAGGGCUCCAGAGCUCAGCUCUUCCUUUUCU